rnacentral:tRNA from 2 species
GCUCCGGUAGUGUAGUCCGGCCAAUCAUGUUGGCCUCUCGAGCCAUUGACCCGGGUUCAAAUCCCGGCCGGAGCACCA